GAACUUGUACUACCGACYUCACUAUAGUGGCCGAANUUGAACUUUANGCUGGCCCGCGAAUUCCGCCCCUKGAGAGUUUGAUUCUUGGCUCAGUGACGAACGCUGGCGGCGUGCUUAACACAUGCAAGUCGAACGAGAGCGUAGAGAAAGCUUGCUUUUUCUACAAUCUAGUGGCAAACGGGUGAGUAACGCGUAAACAACCUGCCCUACGGAUGGGGACAACAGCUGGAAACGGCUGCUAAUACCGAAUACGUUCCGAAAGUCGCAUGACUGUCGGAAGAAAGGAUGGCCUCUAUUUAUAAGCUAUCGCCGGAGGAGGGGUUUGCGUCUGAUUAGCUAGUUGGAGGGGUAACGGCCCACCAAGGCGACGAUCAGUAGCCGGUCUGAGAGGAUGAACGGCCACAUUGGAACUGAGACACGGUCCAGACUCCUACGGGAGGCAGCAGUGGGGAAUCUUCCGCAAUGGGCGAAAGCCUGACGGMGCAMCNGCCGCGGUGAGUGAAGACGGCCCUUCGGGUUGUAAAGCUCUGUUAUACGGGACGAAUAGUCUUGCUGGUUAAUACCCAUARGAAGUGACGGUACCGUAAGAGAAAGCCACGGCUAACUACGUGCCAGCAGCCGCGGUAAUACGUAGGUGGCAAGCGUUGUCCGGAAUUAUUGGGCGUAAAGGGCGCGCAGGCGGCUUCUUAAGUCUGUCUUAAAAGUGCGGGGCUUAACCCCGUGAUGGGAUGGAAACUGGGAAGCUCAGAGUAUCGGAGAGGAAAGCGGAAUUCCUAGUGUAGCGGUGAAAUGCGUAGAUAUUAGGAGGAACACCAGUGGCGAAAGCGGCUUUCUGGACGAAAACUGACGCUGAGGCGCGAAAGCCAGGGGAGCGAACGGGAUUAGAUACCCCGGUAGUCCUGGCCGUAAACGAUGGGUACUAGGUGUAGGAGGUAUCGACCCCUUCUGUGCCGGAGUUAACGCAAUAAGUACCCCGCCUGGGGAGUACGGCCGCAAGGUUGAAACUCAAAGGAAUUGACGGGGGCCCGCACAAGCGGUGGAGUAUGUGGUUUAAUUCGACGCAACGCGAAGAACCUUACCAAGCCUUGACAUUGAUCGCAAGGAGUAGAGAUACUCUGUUCUUCUUCGGAAGANCGAGAAAANCAGGUGGUGCACGGCUGUCGUCAGCUCGUGUCGUGAGAUGUUGGGUUAAGUCCCGCAACGAGCGCAACCCCUAUCUUCUGUUACCAGCACGUAAAGGUGGGGACUCAGGAGAGACUGCCGCAAGACAAUGCGGAGGAAGGGCGGGGAUGACGUCAAGUCAUCAUGCCCCNWUAUGGSUUKGGCKAHACACGUACUACAAUGGCUCUUAAUAGAGGGAAGCGAAGGAGCGAUCCGGAGCAAACCCCAAAAACAGAGUCUCAGUUCGGAUUGUAGGCUGCAACUCGCCUACAUGAAGCAGGAAUCGCUAGUAAUCGCAGGUCAGCAUACUGCGGUGAAUACGUUCCCGGGCCUUGUACACACCGCCCGUCACACCACGAAAGUCAUUCACACCCGAAGCCGGUGAGGUAACCGNAAGGAGCCAGCCGUCGAAGGUGGGGGCGAUGAUUGGGGGUGAAGUCGUAACAAGGUAGCCGUAUCGGAAGGUGCGGCUGGAACACCUCCUC
rnacentral:rRNA from 1 species